rnacentral:lncRNA from 1 species
GGUGACAGUUUGACUCCUCAACAGUCAUACUGGUGGCAGGAGCACAGAGCAGUGCCUCUUGAUUGCUGGUUCAGGGGGCAUGACCCUGAGCAUUUGAGGAGAGGAGGCAUGUGGUCAGCUGUUUCAUUUUGGGGCUCUUCCUGGCCCUUAGAAGACCGAGAUGUACCCGACUACACAGAAGACGAAGUUGAAGUCACUCUUCUAGAAACCGCCUGGUGCAGAUGCCAUGGUGACAGAUAUGAAAGGAUGGGCCUUUGAACAUGGCUCAGCUCACCAGACAUGACAUCUGGAGCCGGAUCCUCCUGGCGUCACCUAGACUGGAUGCCCUGAAGACAGACUUUGUGCUCCCUGCAAGCUCAUUCCAGUCCCCAGAGCGCCUGGAACCCUUGCCACUGAGAUUCGAGUGAAGAAUGAGAUAAGUCCUAAGAAUGUGGCCGAUUGGGCUGGAGUCCCCUCACAAUCAUAUACUGGAUACCCAGCAGGAGACUUUGCCUGCUGAGCCCUCCCCAGGGUGGCUCCCACAAUGACAGGACAUUGCUGAUGGGAACCAGAGUGUCCCCCAACCCCUCAUUUCCCAACCA